AUUGAACGCUGGCGGCAGGCUUAACACAUGCAAGUCGAGCGGGGUGAAGUGCUUCGGUACUGAUCCUAGCGGCGGACGGGUGAGUAAUGCUUAGGAAUCUGCCUAUUAGUGGGGGACAACAUUCCGAAAGGAAUGCUAAUACCGCAUACGUCCUACGGGAGAAAGCAGGGGAUCUUCGGACCUUGCGCUAAUAGAUGAGCCUAAGUCGGAUUAGCUAGUUGGUGGGGUAAAGGCCUACCAAGGCGACGAUCUGUAGCGGGUCUGAGAGGAUGAUCCGCCACACUGGGACUGAGACACGGCCCAGACUCCUACGGGAGGCAGCAGUGGGGAAUAUUGGACAAUGGGCGGAAGCCUGAUCCAGCCAUGCCGCGUGUGUGAAGAAGGCCUUUUGGUUGUAAAGCACUUUAAGCGAGGAGGAGGCUACCUAGAUUAAUACUCUGGGAUAGUGGACGUUACUCGCAGAAUAAGCACCGGCUAACUCUGUGCCAGCAGCCGCCGCCGUAA
rnacentral:rRNA from 1 species